rnacentral:rRNA from 1 species
AACGAACGCUGGCGGCAUGCCUAACACAUGCAAGUCGAACGAGACCUUCGGGUCUAGUGGCGCACGGGUGCGUCACGCGUGGGAACCUGCACUUAGGUUCGGAAUAACUCCCCGAAAGGGGUGCUAAUACCGGAUAAUGUCUUCGGACCAAAGAUUUAUCGCCUUUGGAUGGGCCCGCGUUGGAUUAGCUAGUUGGUAGGGUAAAAGCCUACCAAGGCGACGAUCCAUAGCUGGUCAGAGAGGAUGAUCAGCCACACUGGGACUGGGACACGGCCCAGACUCCUACGGGAGGCAGCAGUGGGGGAUAGUGGACAAUGGGCGAAAGCCUGAUCCAGCAAUGCCGCGUGAGUGAUGAAGGCCUUAGAGUUGUAAAGCUCUUUUACCCGGGAUGAUAAUGACAGUACCGGGAGAAUAAGCUCCGGCUAACUCCGUG